rnacentral:lncRNA from 1 species
UUUCCUUCCUGCUUUCAUUUAUUCGACUCUCAAACAGCUUCCAGUCGCCUUUUCCUUGCUUCUCCAUCAACCUCAGGUCGACUCCAAGGUUCCCGGUACAAAACACGCUUAGAACACGAUCUUCCCGACAUGUCCGGCCCUCACUGUCUGCUGUUGUCGCAGAGACAACCUCCGACCGCCACCGUCGCUGAUGAGCCUUAGCCACCCUCCGCCGCUAUCUCUGCUUGUUGUCAUUGCUAUGGAACCCCGAUCGGCCACCACUUGAUGAUACUGUGAGUAUUCGAUUGACCACCACCAUCAUGUAAUUUCUAUUAAUUGGAUGUCCAUACGACUACUCCAGUCGGAAUCGUGAGACCUAGGUUGUGGUCUCGUCCCCAAAUUGUUUGAACUGCAAAGAAAUCGCGACUAGUAAAUGAAGGGGAACUGUUCAAACUUGAAUCCCAUUUAAUUAAAUAUAACCUUUCAAGUUAGAUGAAUUUACGAAAUCGGUCCCUCCUAUGAAAUGAUUUUCACUUAAGUCAAACUGCCAUCAAAAUAAUCAAAAACAGACCCUCUCUUCAAAAAUCCUAGCAAGAUGGGUCCGAAAACUGUAAUUUAGGCUGAGAAUGUACAGUUUCAGUCCCUGUCUUGUAAACGGAUUUCAAGAUCAGUCGCUUGUUGAAUGAUUUUAGCAAAAUCGAUCCCUUGAAAUUGUUUGAAUUCACAAAAACCACCCUACACUUAAUAAUUAAUACCAAAAGUAAUCUCUUGGUUUUAUUAGGUAAUAUAAAUACACCUGCUGGUUCGUUUUAUAGAACGAGAAAUGUCACGUAACAAAUCUCACGACAAGUUUCUCAAAAGGAACCGACUUCGAACGAUUGGAACUUACGCUUCAAGGGUGAGUGCUUACGGCCCCUUUUCAAUAUUAUUUCGGGGGGGAAUACAUGUGCCUAUAUAUUUUGUUUAUACAAAUAUAUUACCUUUUUAUGCGAAAAACCUAGUUUAUAAAAAUAUUAUUAUUUAACAAUUUACUAUAUUGUUACGGAUAAACUAGUAUGAAUUUUCGUAUACGUAUUAUGGUUAUUUUAUUGUGAAAUAACCAUUUCACACAACAAAUACUACAUGAUACAAAGUUUUAUGAUUUUUUUUAUAUUAUAACAAGUACGUUAUGAAAUUGUGUAGUAUUUCAAUGGUUCAAGAUAUUACUAUACAUGUAUAUUUAUAUGUUUAUAUGCAUAAAGUUUAUACAUGUACAUAUGUUCAUUAAUUUGAAACAUUCAUUUUUAGUCUUGUAUGAUAUGCAUACUACCCGUUUAAAGUGUUUCAAAGUUUCAAGACUUCUAUACAUGAAUACUUUUACGCAUCGCUUUACACACAUAUACAAGUUCGUUAUGUCAAUACAUAUCUCUAUAAAAGCGAGUAAUUUAUACUUCUAUAAAUACGUCAACCAUACUCGGCUUUUACAAAUGCUAUACUUCGAAAUUCAUUAUGCCCGGUACUUAACUAUAAUUAAGUUAGGGCUGAGAGUUAUUCACAAACUUUUCGUUAAUGGUUUUUGAGUGAGACGCUACUAUUCAUUAGCUGAGUUUAAUUACUUAGCCUGCCCCACACUGCUAUAAUCGUUAAUCUUCGGAGCGAGGUACAUAUGUAUAGAUCUAUAUGGGGUCGACAACCCCACCUGCGGUUGCUAGCUACAACCAUCGACUGAUCAAUCGAAGCAGGUGAUAUGUGUCUACGAUCGUUACUACGACAUCCAAUGAAGCGUCGUAUGGAGGGGUACUUUUCGUCUAUAGCUCGAUUAUAGAACUCACUAAAAACAUUAACACGAAUCUCUCUCUUUCUCUUACUACAACCAUAGGCUUGGUUGCCUUCAAGUACAUUUUUAAGUAUGAAAAUUACUUAUACAAUGCAUUCAUUUUGACUUUUAAUGAGGUCACUACAAGUACAUUUUAAGUAAGGAAAUUACUUAUAUAAAACAUUCAUUUUGACUUUCAAUAAGUCAUUACAAGUACAUUUUUAAGUAUGUAAGUUACUUAUACAAAACAUUCAUUUUGACUUUCAAUGAGUUAUUACAAAUAAAUGUUAAAAACAUGAAUUUACUCAUAUCAAAAUACAUGCUUGGAUUUUAAAGACUCUUUGCAAAUACUGUUUUUUUUAACUAUUGUUAUAGUUAUACAUACAAAGUUAAUACUUUUUAGACUUAUUAAAAGUAUUACUGCGUUAGCAGAAAACCUGUGACACUCACCAACCUUUGUGUUGACUUUUAAAACUACAUGUAUUCUCAGGAAAACACUAAACAGACAUUCAAGACAGAUUGGAUUACAGGUGACCAAGUUUAUUUGUUGUUGUACCAUACGCCUACCUGUUAAGGCAAUUAAUGUAUUAUUAUUAUUAUUUGUAAAAACAUUGUAUCAAGAUGGAAUAUGAAUGCUAUUUUGUUUAUUGUUGUACUUGUGCUAUAUAUUCAAUUUGUCUGUGAUCCAUGAACUUAGUCAU